GGAAGUAAAAUUAUUUCAAGACUUGCAAGGCAGGGGAAGGGUAUGCUCCCAAUUCUUGACCAUGAUUGUUUUCCACAGCCAUAAUCUGAAUAUGUAAUGAAAAUUCAACUAACUCUGGAGCCCUUUAAAACUGUCCCUGGCUGCAUCAGAGCCCCUUUCCUGUGAAUGGCUUCUGUGUGGAGGGAGUUGACGGAACUCCUGUAAUCUACAGCAAUACAUGAAGCCUGAUGUCUGGGAAAGGCCACCCCAAGCAACUCAGGAAGUGUGGAAAACAAUUCUGACUGCAAGCAUGGCACAAACAGAAAGCAGCUCUUUUAAAGGUUGCUAAAGCUCUUAAGCUCAAAUAUCCAUAGGGAGUGCAUUCCAGAGCCCAUCAGCAGCUACAGAAAAAACGCCUGAUCCUGUGAGCUGGCGGUAGCCAAGGACAGAACUCUCCUGAUGACCUUAACAUGCAGUGGGGAUCAUA